rnacentral:rRNA from 1 species
GGAAAGAUUCUAUCGGUAUGGGAUGGGGUCGCGUCCUAUCAGCUUGAUGGCGGGGUAACGGCCCACCAUGGCUUCGACGGGUAGCCGGCCUGAGAGGGCGACCGGCCACAUUGGGACUGAGAUACGGCCCAGACUCCUACGGGAGGCAGCAGUGGGGAAUAUUGCACAAUGGGCGCAAGCCUGAUGCAGCGACGCCGCGUGCGGGAUGACGGCCUUCGGGUUGUAAACCGCUUUUGACUGGGAGCAAGCCCUUCGGGGUGAGUGUACCUUUCGAAUAAGCACCGGCUAACUACGUGCCAGCAGCCGCGGUAAUACGUAGGGUGCAAGCGUUAUCCGGAAUUAUUGGGCGUAAAGGGCUCGUAGGCGGUUCGUCGCGUCCGGUGUGAAAGUCCAUCGCUUAACGGUGGAUCCGCGCCGGGUACGGGCGGGCUUGAGUGCGGUAGGGGAGACUGGAAUUCCCGGUGUAACGGUGGAAUGUGUAGAUAU